AGGGUACCUUUAUGCUGGCAGUGUGAAUGGGUAUAUAUACCCCAUUCACACUGCCAGCAUGAAGGUACCUUU
rnacentral:pre_miRNA from 1 species